UUUAGAGGAAGUAAAAGUCGUAACAAGGUUUCCGUAGGUGAACCUGCGGAAGGAUCAUUCAUAAUCAAGUGUUUUUAUGGCACUUUCAAAAAUCCAUAUCCACCUUGUGUGCAAUGUCAUCUCACUGGGGGGCCACCGGCUGUCAAAAGCCGUCUGGUCACCUUUGGGAUUUAUAUCUACUCAGAACUUUAGUGAUUUUGUCUGAAACAUAUUAUGAAUACUUAAUUCAAAAUACAACUUUCAACAACGGAUCUCUUGGCUCUCGCAUCGAUGAAGAACGCAGCGAAAUGCGAUACGUAAUGUGAAUUGCAGAAUUCAGUGAAUCAUCGAAUCUUUGAACGCAUAUUGCGCUCUCUGGUAUUCCGGAGAGCAUGCUUGUUUGAGUAUCAGUAAACACCUCAACUUCCAUAUCUUUUUUGAAAUGGGAGUUGGACUUGAGUGAUCCCAACGCUUUUCCUCACCGAAAAGUGGCGGGUUACUUGAAAUGCAGGUGCAGCUGGACUUUUCUCUGAGCUAUAAGCAUAUCUAUUUAGUCUGCCUAAAAAACAGAUUAUUACCUUUGCUGCAGCUAACAUAAAGGAGAUUAGUUCUUGUGCUGACUGAUGCAGGAUUCACAAAGACAGGCUUCGGCCGACUUUGUAAACUCGAUCUCAAAUCAAGUAAGACUACCCGCUGAACUUAAGCAUAUCAU
rnacentral:rRNA from 1 species